rnacentral:misc_RNA from 1 species
GAUGAAGAACGUAGCGAAAUGCGAUACGUAAUGUGAAUUGCAGAAUUCAGUGAAUCAUCGAGUCUUUGAACGCACAUUGCGCCCCCUGGUAUUACGGGGGGCAUGCCUGUCCGAGCGUCAUUGCUGCCCUCAAGCCCGGCUUGUGUGUUGGGUCUCGUCCCCCUUCCCGGGGGGACGGGCCCGAAAGGCAGCGGCGGCACCGUGUCCGGUCCUCGAGCGUAUGGGGCUUUGUCACCCGCUCUGUAGGCCCGGCCGGCGCUUGCCGAUCAACCAAAACUUUUUUCCAGGUUGACCUCGGAUCAGGUAGGGAUACCCGCUGAACUUAAGCAUAUCAAUAAGCGGAGGA